rnacentral:rRNA from 1 species
UACGUAGGGUGCGAGCGUUGUCCGGAAUUAUUGGGCGUAAAGCGCGUGUAGGCGGCUUUGCAAGUCGGGUGUGAAAGCCCUCAGCUCAACUGAGGAAGUGCGCCCGAAACUGCAGAGCUUGAGUGCCGGAGAGGGUGGCGGAAUUCCCCAAGUAGAGGUGAAAUUCGUAGAUAUGGGGAGGAACACCGGUGGCGAAGGCGGCCACCUGGACGGUAACUGACGCUGAGACGCGAAAGCGUGGGGAGCAAACAGG